AAGACAGUGACUCGUGCUGAAACACAGGUGCAACUCCAUCCUAGCAUCAAUAUUUUAAAUCUGUUUAGCUAAAAGAGAUUACCACGUGAAGAAAUAAGGGGGAAAAAAGAUUUAAUUUGAUAAUACGUUUCCUUACCUAUGUUAUUAACACCAUGAGUUAAAAAACAAACAAACCCAUAAGCCAUAUCUGACUUAGUAAACAAUCUGACUCAUUGCUGCUUAUGACUGUCCCUGCAUUAUCCACACUUGAGAGGUUGUACCAGGUAACGUGCACUGCAGUUUCUGUUACCACUGUUCUAUUUCAGAGGAACUGUCAGUUUUAAGAAACAUAUUAAAAUGUAAGGCUCCAAGAAGCAAAAUUCGUAAGCAACAGAGAGAUCUAAAAGAUGUACUGCUACUAAUUAGCAUUAAACCACAACUUUAUCAGCAGAAUUCAGCUAUAGCUCUAUUUCAGCCUCCACAACCACACAUAACACAAUAACAACAAAAGGAAGAGGCCAAUAUUUAUCCAACAGCAGAUGUCUCCCACUGCAGGAUGGUAGCGAUUGCAUGGCAACACCUCACAUGCAUUCAGGCAAUGGACAAAAAAUGAACCAAAUAAUAACCACGCUGGUGGUUUAAAGUAAGCCCACAGUGUGAGAACCAAUGUGUGAGGCCAAAUACAUUUCUCAGUUGCUCACUGAAGACUGGAAGUACAAUUCUCCCAGGAUGUUUUUUUAGAUGUGUCCCUACCCAUCGUACAUCGAGAGUCUGUGCAACAGUCCAAGCCAAUUAAAACCUCAGUUUUCAAAUCUGACGGGAGUAUUUGGAGUUGCAGUGGCACUUCAUGCAGGAACAUCGCUCCAGUGCAAGCUGAGCUAAUAACUGGUUUGAGAAUAAACGUUCAAAUUUACACUGUAGCCAUUACCACAUCUUAAAAACUACGUCAGAACUUUAGCAGUGUGCAAUACAUGCAAAUGUACACAGCCUAAACUGUGCAGGUGUAUGGGAACUGCUGAGUCGCGGCCUGAACCUCUGAUUGAUCACCUGAGGCGAGCCAUGAGUCAGCCAGAGGAGCACAGGUGAAGGCAAUUCAAUUCACCUGUGCUGACGGAAGGGGUGGAGCCAGGCUGCACCUCUCCUAGACCUAUUGAAGAGCUGGCUGCCAGUAAGGAAGGAUCUCGUCUGGAGAUCCCUCCUGGUGUUUUGUGGUAAGCUCAGCAUAAGGAGGGAGGAAAGCAUUGAAUCCUACAAUGAGGUCGGGGUGUUCAUGGAACAGCUGUGAAACGCGUCGGAUGACUCCGGGUGUGUCAAUGCUAGAAUCGAAAAGAAUUUGUUACUUGUGCCUACAUCAGAAAUACAACUCAAGCCCAGAAAAGUACAAAGAUCUGUGUUUCAGAGCGGGUUAUACAAAAACAGAUCGUUCUUUUCCCGUGGAUUUCUGCUCUGGAAAACAAGGAAGCGGGCAGCAGUGGGAUGAACGCCUCCUCCCUCAUCUCCAGCGUGUAACAACUGGGCCAGCAGGGACAGCAGAACCUCGGGGUGAAGGCUGGGGAAGCCCCCAGGGCAGAGACGGCCCCGG